rnacentral:rRNA from 1 species
AUACCGGAUAACACUCUGUCCCGCAUGGGACGGGGUUGAAAGCUCCGGCGGUGAAGGAUGAGCCCGCGGCCUAUCAGCUUGUUGGUGGGGUAAUGGCCUACCAAGGCGACGACGGGUAGCCGGCCUGAGAGGGCGACCGGCCACACUGGGACUGAGACACGGCCCAGACUCCUACGGGAGGCAGCAGUGGGGAAUAUUGCACAAUGGGCGAAAGCCUGAUGCAGCGACGCCGCGUGAGGGAUGACGGCCUUCGGGUUGUAAACCUCUUUCAGCAGGGAAGAAGCGAAAGUGACGGUACCUGCAGAAGAAGCGCCGGCUAACUACGUGCCAGCAGCCGCGGUAAUACGUAGGGCGCAAGCGUUGUCCGGAAUUAUUGGGCGUAAAGAGCUCGUAGGCGGCUUGUCACGUCGGAUGUGAAAGCCCGGGGCUUAACCCCGGGUCUGCAUUCGAUACGGGCUAGCUAGAGUGUGGUAGGGGAGAUCGGAAUUCCUGGUGUAGCGGUGAAAUG